UACGUAGGGACCAAGCGUUGUUCGGAUUUACUGGGCGUAAAGGGCGCGUAGGCGGCGUGGUAAGUCACUUGUGAAAUCUCUGAGCUUAACUCAGAACGGCCAAGUGAUACUGCUGUGCUAGAGUGCAGAAGGGGCAAUCGGAAUUCUUGGUGUAGCGGUGAAAUGCGUAGAUAUCAGGAGGAACACCAAUUGCGAAGGCAGCUCGCUGGGACGUCACUGACGCUGAGACGCGAAAGCGUGGGGAGCAAACAGG
rnacentral:rRNA from 1 species